AGUCGAACGCCCCGCAAGGGGAGUGGCAGACGGGUGAGUAACGCGUGGGAAUCUACCGUGCCCUGCGGAAUAGCUCCGGGAAACUGGAAUUAAUACCGCAUACGCCCUACGGGGGAAAGAUUUAUCGGGGUAUGAUGAGCCCGCGUUGGAUUAGCUAGUUGGUGGGGUAAAGGCCUACCAAGGCGACGAUCCAUAGCUGGUCUGAGAGGAUGAUCAGCCACAUUGGGACUGAGACACGGCCCAAACUCCUACGGGAGGCAGCAGUGGGGAAUAUUGGACAAUGGGCGCAAGCCUGAUCCAGCCAUGCCGCGUGAGUGAUGAAGGCCUUAGGGUUGUAAAGCUCUUUCACCGGAGAAGAUAAUGACGGUAUCCGGAGAAGAAGCCCCGGCU
rnacentral:rRNA from 1 species